CAAAGGGGUACUCCACACCAUAUGAUGUCAUGCUUAGCAAUAACAGCUGGGGGAAAGAAGGAAGAAGGGGGGGAUGAGUGGUAAUGUUUAUCUUCACAAGUAGCUAUUAUGUGUGUUGGAGCCCUGCUCUGCUGGAAGCAGCUGAAUAUCUAUCUGCCGAUGGGAAAUAGAGAAUGAAUUCCCUGUUCUUCCUUGCACACACAUAUUUAUCUUUACUAUUACACUGUCUUUAUCUGGACCCACAAGUAUUCUCACUUUUACCCUUCUAAUUCUACUUUUUCUCCUCCUUCCCCCCUCCUCAUUUCAACUGGGAGAGAGUGUGAGAGCAGCUGUGUGGUGCUUAGCUGCCUACUGGGGGAAACCUGGAAAACAGCAAUGUAGGCAUGUAACCAAAUUAAAGCCAAACUUUCAGCCCAGUCCUUGACCUGACUAGUGAGUGAGGAUCCAGAUCCUGGCAUUUAUACUUGAUAGUUUUACGCAGC